UACGUAGGGGGCAAGCGUUGUCCGGAAUCAUUGGGCGUAAAGCGCGUGUAGGCGGCCCGAUAAGUCCGCUGUGAAAGUCCAGGGCUCAACCCUGGAAUGCCGGUGGAUACUGUCGGGCUCGAGUCCGGAAGAGGCGAGUGGAAUUCCUGGUGUAGCGGUGAAAUGCGCAGAUAUCAGGAGGAACACCAAUUGCGAAGGCAGCUCGCUGGGACGUUACUGACGCUGAGACGCGAAAGCGUGGGGAGCAAACAGG
rnacentral:rRNA from 1 species